rnacentral:rRNA from 1 species
GACGAACCGAGCGAACGUUGUUCGGAAUCACUGGGCUUAAAGGGCGCGUAGGCGGGUUCGUAAGUCUGUGGUGAAAGCCCCCAGCUUAACUGGGGAAGUGCCAUGGAUACUGCGAGUCUUGAGGAGGGUAGGGGCAUCUGGAACACUGGGUGGAGCGGUGAAAUGCGCAGAUAUCAGGAGGAACACCGAUGGCGAAGGCAGGUCUCUGGGCCAUAACUGACGCUGAGAAGCGAAAGCAUGGGGAGCGAACAGGA